AGUGAACGCUGGCGGCAGGCCUAACACAUGCAAGUCGAGCGGCAGCGGGUCCUUCGGGAUGCCGGCGAGCGGCGGACGGGUGAGGAAUACAUCGGAAUCUGCCCUGUCGUGGGGGAUAACCUAGGGAAACUUAGGCUAAUACCGCAUACGACCUGCGGGUGAAAGCGGGGGAUCGCAAGACCUCGCGCGACAGGAUGAGCCGAUGUCCGAUUAGCUAGUUGGCGGGGUAAAGGCCCACCAAGGCGACGAUCGGUAGCUGGUCUGAGAGGAUGAUCAGCCACACUGGGACUGAGACACGGCCCAGACUCCUACGGGAGGCAGCAGUGGGGAAUAUUGGACAAUGGGCGCAAGCCUGAUCCAGCCAUGCCGCGUGGGUGAAGAAGGCCUUCGGGUUGUAAAGCCCUUUUGUCCGGGAAGAAAUCGUCUGGGCUAAUACCCCGGGCGGAUGACGGUACCGGAAGAAUAAGCACCGGCUAACUUCGUG
rnacentral:rRNA from 1 species